GACGAACGCUGGCGGCGUGCUUAACACAUGCAAGUCGAACGGAAAGGCCCUGCUUUUGUGGGGUGCUCGAGUGGCGAACGGGUGAGUAACACGUGAGUAACCUGCCCUUGACUUUGGGAUAACUUCAGGAAACUGGGGCUAAUACCGGAUAGGAGCUCCUGCUGCAUGGUGGGGGUUGGAAAGUUUCGGCGGUUGGGGAUGGACUCGCGGCUUAUCAGCUUGUUGGUGGGGUAGUGGCUUACCAAGGCUUUGACGGGUAGCCGGCCUGAGAGGGUGACCGGCCACAUAGGGACUGAGAUACGGCCCAGACUCCUACGGGAGGCAGCAGUGGGGAAUAUUGCACAAUGGGCGGAAGCCUGAUGCAGCAACGCCGCGUGCGGGAUGACGGCCCUAGGGUUGUAAACCGCUUUCGCCUGUGACGAAGCGUGAGUGACGGUAAUGGGUAAAGAAGCACCGGCUAACUACGUG
rnacentral:rRNA from 1 species